CGGCCUCUAGUCGUUAGGUUCGUUAUCACUACCACAUUUACAGCUCAACACAACUUUCACGACUGAAAAACCUGCCAAGCCAUGCUCCACCGCUGUAUCGAGUGAAUAAUGAAAUAAUGCGAGUCCAAAAAAUGCACGACUACAAUACGGAUAUGUUUAAAAGACAGUUGUUAAGAUUAUAUAAAUAUGUAUAAAAAUUAUUAAUAUCAAAUAAAUGUUUGCAUAUAUACAA